AGAGUUUGAUCCUGGCUCAGAUUGAACGCUGGCGGCAGGCCUAACACAUGCAAGUCGAACGGUAACAGGAAGCAGCUUGCUGCUUUGCUGACGAGUGGCGGACGGGUGAGUAAUGUCUGGGAAACUGCCCGAUGGAGGGGGAUAACUACUGGAAACGGUAGCUAAUACCGCAUAAUGUCGCAAGACCAAAGAGGGGGACCUUCGGGCCUCUUGCCAUCGGAUGUGCCCAGAUGGGAUUAGCUUGUUGGUGAGGUAACGGCUCACCAAGGCGACGAUCCCUAGCUGGUCUGAGAGGAUGACCAGCCACACUGGAACUGAGACACGGUCCAGACUCCUACGGGAGGCAGCAGUGGGGAAUAUUGCACAAUGGGCGCAAGCCUGAUGCAGCCAUGCCGCGUGUAUGAAGAAGGCCUUCGGGUUGUAAAGUACUUUCAGCGGGGAGGAAGGGGUUAAGGUUAAUAACCUUAGCCAUUGACGUUACCCGCAGAAGAAGCACCGGCUAACUCCGUGCCAGCAGCCGCGGUAAUACGGAGGGUGCAAGCCUUAAUCGGAAUUACUGGGCGUAAAGCGCACGCAGGCGGUCUGUCAAGUCGGAUGUGAAAUCCCCGGGCUCAACCUGGGAACUGCAUUCGAAACUGGCAGGCUUGAGUCUCGUAGAGGGGGGUAGAAUUCCAGGUGUAGCGGUGAAAUGCGUAGAGAUCUGGAGGAAUACCGGUGGCGAAGGCGGCCCCCUGGACGAAGACUGACGC
rnacentral:rRNA from 1 species